GAAUUGACGGGACCCGCACAAGCGGUGGAUGAUGUGGAUUAAUUCGAUGCAACGCGAAAACCUUACCUACCCUUGACAUGUCCGGAAUCCCGAAGAGAUUUGGGAGUGCUCGCAAGAGAACCGGAACACAGGUGCUGCAUGGCUGUCGUCAGCUCGUGUCGUGAGAUGUUGGGUUAAGUCCCGCAACGAGCGCAACCCUUGUCAUUAGUUGCCAUCAUUUGGUUGGGCACUCUAAUGAGACUGCCGGUGACAAACCGGAGGAAGGUGGGGAUGACGUCAAGUCCUCAUGGCCCUUAUGGGUAGGGCUUCACACGUCAUACAAUGGUCGGUACAGAGGGUUGCCAACCCGCGAGGGGGAGCUAAUCCCACAAAGCCAGUCGUAGUCCGGAUCGUAGUCUGCAACUCGACUACGUGAAGUCGGAAUCGCUAGUAAUCGUGGAUCAGAAUGUCACGGUGAAUACGUUCCCGGGUCUU
rnacentral:rRNA from 1 species